GCAUGCAAGCAAGAGAUUCAUCAUCAACAAGCAAAUGACUCGUUCCUCAGCUGUGCCUUAGUGAUCUUCUUCAAUAAGAUCUACUAAAAGGUAAAAAGGGAAGUCAAAUCUCAGAUUCUGAACUCCCCAUUCCCGGUUUCUUAUUCCCAGUUUCUUGAUGAAAGCAAAGUCAAGAAAAUUAAGGAAUUUGUUCUAAAGUUUGUAUUUAUUCUUAUCUUUUCCCAGAAUAUAUAAGAAAAACAAUAUUAAUAGAAUUAGUAUUGUCUAGCUUUAUGAUUGAUCAGAGUGUCUGUAUUUUUAUAUGCAUAUUUUUAAAGGGUUUAAAGACAUAGUGUUGAUCAACAAAGAAAGAUUGAAACUUGCUAAUCAAUUUUUGGUUGGGAGGAGAGCAAGGGAACUGAAUUCAACACUUUGAUUCCUCUCCAAAAGAGCUGAUUGGUAGGAAUCCAGUAUAUUUUCCCCUCGAACUACCAUAGCCGUAGGAUCCUGGGGCAGAACUCAUUUGCAACCAGAAUUCUGCAUGAAACUAUAAAUUAGAGCUGGGUGCAAAAUGGCACCUUGAAAUUGUCCAUCCUAUCUGUGGUCAGAUAAAUUGUGGGGAACCAUUUCACCAAAUUUCCCCAGAUGGAGAAGAAAUUAUCCAAUGGUUUCUCAGCAGUGGGGCUUAACCAUGACAUAACUACUUUCUUUUUUACCAAGCCUUUUUUUUUUUUUUUUUUUUUUUGCUGCUGCUGUUGCUUUUCCAAGAAGCUGCAUUGGCAGCCUAGCCACCAUUUUGCAUUCUCCGCAGUUAUUGCAAGGUGUUGUUUGUGAAUUGAGAGGUGAAUGGUGGAAAACUGUGGUGGAGAUCUUCAGGCUUGGGAGCCAAAUGUGCCUCCCAGGCCACCCCAAAUUUGGACUCAGCUCUAGUAGAAAUACAUAUACAGAAAUUUGUUUCUGCACUGAUAUUGCCUCUGAUGUCCUGGCUCUUACACAAACAGGGGCUCUUACAUGUAAGAAAGAAACAGAUAUUUACUCUUGCAGCUAUUGAUAUGGGCUCGGCAGCUGAUCCAAGGCCCGUGGACUUAUGGCUGAGGAGUUCUAGAGCAGGGCAAGAAGUUCAGAACUGGACAGUCACAACAAAUAUGUCCUAGCAAGUUUCCAUGCCCUGCCCACUAAACUUAAAAAGAUGAGGUGCGACAAGACUGCAGCUUCUUGUUCUGGCCCUUGUUCACUUGCUGCUGCCACCACUACCACUCCCCCCCAUACCCCACCACCUCCCUCAGCAGCUCCAAGCCCUCCAUACUACAGCCAUCCCUGCAACCCUUUCCAAAAUGGCGGAAAUGUGAAGAUCCCACUUCCUACAACCCAGGUUCCAACCAUUCAGCCAACACCCCCUGCAUGAUUUCUUCCUCCUCCUCCCAUUUCAGAGCCUAUCAAUCCAAACCCAAUCCCAGUGGGAUUAUGGCACUCACCUGGACUGGGGUUAAAUCUUUUUUUCACUUUAUGCAUUGUAAUCAAAGCAUCAUCUGAAAAGCAGCUUGUCACAGUUUUAAUUUCAUUCAUUUAUUGAGCCCAGGACUUGCUGGCAACUCUAGAUGCUCCAGUUUUGCAAGGCUUAUUCAUCCCCCCAAAGGCAUAUCUGCUUCCAUCUAGCUAAUUCAGUUCCAGGAAAGCUUAUCUAAAGAACCAACAACUUUGCUCAGGAAACUUCAGUGAAAAGGGAACCGAUAAGGACAAAGGCAAGCCUCAGAGAUUAGUUUCAAAAGCAUCAGAUCAGAAGAUAAUCCCACACAAAAUGAACAGGGAAAGGGAAGAUGCACCAGAAAUAAAAAUUUCCUUCCAAAUUCUCCAAUACUUUGACUUGACUAUGUACAGGCAAGCUAUGGCCAGAAAGCAAUACCCCAAACCUCUGACAAAUGCAACAGCACAAUGGUAGACUAGGGAUUUUGCUAGAGAAUCACCUGAAGCUUUGGUAUUAGAUGAAAACAAAGCACUUAUUUCCAUUUUCUUAAAUAAAGUACACAUUAAAGGAAACAAUGUACUCUUUCUCUUCCAAAGGGUGUAUGUACAAAAGGUCAUGGAUUUCUACUGUUAAUCUUGUAACCAAUUUUUCUCUCUCCUUGUGCUAACAGAUUGAGCUGAGGGAGGAGGUUCCUAAUUGCUAAGAGAUAAAGUAAUUGAGUGGUCUCUGGGGCUCCAUUCAGUACAACAAACUUCAAUAUAGUUGACAAAUGUCGAUCCAUACCACCGGAUUAAUAAGGUUGCGCUGGCUUCCUCUUUAGCUUUGCAUUUGCUCUUUGGGUCUAACUAACACUCUGAUUGCUUGGAGAGAACUGACAAAGCUUUGCAGUUAAUGAGGCUGUCUGGUAAUUUAUCAAAUGGGGCUUCUGAACUUGCAGAAAAAGAAAGUAAGACUAUGAUGUGCGAGAUGCAGACAAAACACUUACAUUCUGGAAAAAUAAAAUGCUACCCGUGCUCUGCUCCAAACCUGGUACAUCUAGCAAAUCAUCACUGGGCAAGUUGGUUACUAUACUUAUGUUUACCUACACAGGAACAUUAAAAGUUGCUCCAACUUUCCCUCCAGGUGAAUUUCCUUGUUGUCAAGUCCAUCUUCUUUCUAUAUCUCAAACUGAUCCAGUAUGUUGUUCAGCAAAACCUGUUGUACAAGCCAUGCUACUGGUUUGUACAUGAACAUAUUAGUGUGCUGAGCAUCAUCUGCAGUGAAGUUGCUCUGACAUUCUCAAAUUUAACAUGACUUGCCCACACGUCAGUCUAGGCUGCUGAUUUGCUAUCAGACCAAGUUCAUUGUGUUACUGUUAGUACUUAACAGCCUGGGACCAGUUUACUUGCAGGAUUGUCUAAAUGAAAAACACACUGUCUAUUGUGUUAAUUCACCAGGUAUGAAUUCAUGUGCUGAUGCAAUGGCAUUCAGAGGCAGCACAU